rnacentral:rRNA from 1 species
CGGCGACCGGCGCACGGGUGNGUAACACGUAUGCGACCUGCCCGUAGCAGGGGGAUAAGCGGAAGAAAUUCCGUCUAAUACCGCGUAAUAUCUUUCGGGGGCAUCCCUGAGGGNUUAAAGGAAGCGAUUCCGGCUACGGAUGGGCAUGCGGCGCAUUAGCUAGUCGGCGGGGUAACGGCCCACCGAGGCGACGAUGCGUAGGGGUUCUGAGAGGAAGGUCCCCCACACUGGUACUGAGACACGGACCAGACUCCUACGGGAGGCAGCAG